rnacentral:snRNA from 1 species
AUAUUUUAAAGGGAAUAUCUUGUCAUCCAGCUGUUAUGGUUAAUAAUGGAUAGUUUUCUCUCUCUGGGUGAGGCUUAUCCAUUGCACACCUGAUGUGCUGACCCCUGCGAUUUCCCCAAAUGUGGGAAAGUUGCCCGCAGUAAUUUGUGGUCAUGGGGGACUGUGUGUUCCUGCUUUUCCCUG